rnacentral:rRNA from 1 species
AAUCAACGCUGGCGGCAUGCCUUACACAUGCAAGUCGAACGGUAACAGGUCUUCGGAUGCUGACGAGUGGCGAACGGGUGAGUAAUACAUCGGAACGUGCCUAGUAGUGGGGGAUAACUACUCGAAAGAGUGGCUAAUACCGCAUGAGAUCUACGGAUGAAAGCAGGGGAUCGCAAGACCUUGUGCUACUAGAGCGGCCGAUGGCAGAUUAGGUAGUUGGUGGGAUAAAAGCUUACCAAGCCGACGAUCUGUAGCUGGUCUGAGAGGACGAUCAGCCACACUGGGACUGAGACACGGACCAGACUCCUACGGGAGGCAGCAGUGGGGAAUUUUGGACAAUGGGCGCAAGCCUGAUCCAGCAAUGCCGCGUGCAGGAUGAAGGCCUUCGGGUUGUAAACUGCUUUUGUACGGAACGAAAAGCCCUGGGUUAAUACCCUGGGGUCAUGACGGUACCGUAAGAAUAAGCACCGGCUAACUACGUGCCAGCCGCCGCCGUAAAAC